UCUUUAUUUUCCUGGGAAACAAUACUGUGUUAGACACUGGUGUUGCAGUGAAGAUGGCUGAACAGAGAGAAAGCUGUAAACCCUCAGGGAGUUUCCUCUAAAUUGUCAGUUUGUAAGAGCUAAGCAUCUCCACCACGUGCUGAAGCCGAUGUGAAGGACCCUUGGUCAGAGCCUGUGACGACUCAGCAAAGAUACCAGCAGGCCGUGGUUGCACAAUUCAUGACUGCUGAUAUGGGAUCGGUGCAGUAUUGGAUCAUCCAGCAGGACCGGCUGGGUCUGAAGCAAGGUGCCUGGAAAUGAAUCAAAGGAGCAAUGGAAUCUGGGUCAUCCUAUGGAUGUGGAGCAAAUCCUGGAGAAGAAAAGACGUUUCACUUUGAAGGGAGUAAAACUGAUACUUUGCAAGGUACUUGUGAAAAACCUAUGGGAAGACAGGCCAAAUCUAG